rnacentral:piRNA from 1 species
UAUGUCACUAUGCCUAAAGCUUUGUUCUA